rnacentral:rRNA from 1 species
AACUAACAAGGAUUCCCCUAGUAACUGCGAGUGAAGCGGGAAAAGCUCAAAUUUAAAAUCUGGCGGUCCUUGGCCGUCCGAGUUGUAAUCUAGAGAAGUGUUACCCGCGUCGGACCGUGUACAAGUCUCCUGGAAUGGAGCGUCAUAGAGGGUGAGAAUCCCGUCUUUGACACGGACUACCGAGGCUUUGUGGUGCGCUCUCAAAGAGUCGAGUUGUUUGGGAAUGCAGCUCAAAAUGGGUGGUAAAUUCCAUCUAAAGCUAAAUAUUGGCGAGAGACCGAUAGCGAACAAGUACCGUGAGGGAAAGAUGAAAAGAACUUUGGAAAGAGAGUUAAACAGUACGUGAAAUUGCUGAAAGGGAAACGCUUGAAGUCAGUCGCGUCCUCCGGGAAUCAGCCUUCCUUCUGGUUGGUGUACUUCCUGGUGGACGGGCCAGCAUCAGUUUUGACCGGUGGAAAAAGUUCGAGGGAAUGUGGCACCUUCGGGUGUGUUAUAGCCCUCGUUCGUAUACAUCGAUUGGGACUGAGGAACUCAGCACGCCGCAAGGCCGGGAUUCGUCCACGUUCGUGCUUAGGAUGCUGGCAUAAUGGCUUUAAUCGACCCGUCUUGAAACACGGACCAAGGAGUCUAACAUGCCUGCGAGUGUUUGGGUGGAAAACCCGAGCGCGUAAUGAAAGUGAAAGUUGAGAUCCCUGUCAUGGGGAGCAUCGACGCCCGGACCAGACGUUCUCUGACGGUUCUGCGGUAGAGCAUGUAUGUUGGGACCCGAAAGAUGGUGAACUAUGCCUGAAUAGGGUGAAGCCAGAGGAAACUCUGGUGGAGGCUCGUAGCGAUUCUGACGUGCAAAUCGAUCGUCAAAUUUGGGUAUAGGGGCGAAAGACUAAUCGAACCAUCUAGUAGCUGGUUCCUGC